rnacentral:rRNA from 1 species
UACGUAGGGUGCGAGCGUUAAUCGGAAUUACUGGGCGUAACGCGUGCGCAGGCGGUUUUGUAAGCCAGAUGUGAAAGCCCCGGGCUUAACCUGGGAAUGGCAUUUGGGACUGCAAGGCUUGAGUGCGGCAGAGGAGACUGGAAUUCCUGGUGUAGCAGUGAAAUGCGUAGAUAUCAGGAGGAAUACCGAUGGCGAAGGCAGGUCUCUGGGCUGACACUGACGCUCAUGCACGAAAGCGUGGGGAGCAAACAGG